AUCCAACAAUGAGGAGUCCCAAAUAGGACGAAACGUACGUCCUGGAU
rnacentral:hammerhead_ribozyme from 1 species